UGGAGAAGUUACAUGAAGCUCCUGAAGUUGCGUCUCCUGUCCUUGCAUUUUUGAAGUAAUGCAGAAAUAAUAUGGAAAAGAGAUGCUUGUUAUGAGAAAGAAAAUACAUCUACUGAAAAGCCAAUUUUCCAGUACAUGGCAGUUCCGUUAAAAAAUUUCCAAGGAGACUUCAUCAGCUCAGCUCAAGUUCUUCUACAGGUUUUCUUAAUGCCUCUGACACGUCACUUCAUUUUUCUAUCCCAGAGGCAUAUUUGAAAAUAGGAAAGGAGGCCGAUUUGCCAUUGUCUGCAGCUAUCUUAGACAGUCCCAGAGCUUUCUUAAAGUGCUUCUCUCUAACUAAAAGGAUGCCUAUUCCAGCUUUAUCAUUCAAAACCCGUUAGAGCUGUCUGCUGGUUGAAAUACAUGGUCACCCAAGGGACUGCAGCACCACUACCACCCCAAGGGGACUAGUACAUUCAUUCCAAUGAAAUUAAGCUUUGGUAAAGAAAUCCAACAAAGUGCUCCAACCCUAGACCUCAAUAGUUUUGCCAGGUGGCAAUUUCUUGGAGUGUCUCAUGACUGCUGAUGAAUCUACAUUCACAAGCAGUGAGCAUGAACAGUGUUAUCCCAGAUAAAUCUAAGAAGAACACUGACAGAAUAUCUGGCACAUGCUUUUGUAUGAAUCCCCAUGCCUACUGAAAAUCUCAGCUGUGUUCUGGGUGAAGAAGUCAAAUGGGACAGACUAGAACUGUCCUGAGACAGCAGAAGGCAACAACCUUACUGCUCAGGAAACAAAGGCAGCAAGACAAACCUUCACCAGUAGUGAAAAAGGCAUCGUUAAUAUGAAGCAGAUUUGACAGGAGUUACGGUAGAAUGAUUCAACAUUAGCAGAUUUUUUCCUGGCUUCCUUUAGAGUGAUAGCUCUAAUAACAUUGCAGAAUGAGCAGGAAAAAAUGAAGAACAACAACACCAAGGAAAAACCCUGCUGGGGUUUAAGCUCAAGAGCUUCUUAUUUUUUUUUUUUCAAGUCAGUUAUAUUUAGUUUUUCAAUGCCUUGGAAUGCUAUCAAAUAAUAAAAUUUCUUUCAUCUACAAAUUAAGUAAAUAGAUAAAGUGAUUUCAACCCCAACCUUUAGGAUCACCAUAGGUGAGUGUCUUGCUUGAACAGUGAGUGGUAUUUUUAAAGGCAACAAGACCAAUAAUAUAUGCAGACUGGUUCCAAAGAUAUGCAAUUACAAACAUUUCCUGCAGAGCACAUAAGGUCUGUAGGUUUGUAAGUGCCUCUUAGCUUCUAUAUUUUAAUCACUGGAUUUGAAAUAGCCUGAAAUAAACCUAUAUGUCCAACAGAAGAGCUGAAUGUUUUUUAUGGAAGUGGAGAGGCGAUUUUGUAACCUUACUUUCUCAAAGACAAAACUGUAGUC